rnacentral:lncRNA from 1 species
CUAGAUAAAAAUAUAGAUAAAUAAAUAAGUAUCGUUAAAAUCGCCUUCCUAAAAAUAGUAAGUGACAUGGUCUUCUACUACAUCAUGCUGCAAGAAAUAUCCAAUUUUGAUAGGCAUCAGCAAAGAUUAUAAGAGAAUAACAAAGAAGGUAUAGGGAAAAGUUCAUACAACGUCGUUUUUGGUGAUGUUGAGAGAGAGAAGAGAAGAAGCGAGACGACAGCAACGGUCAUAGGUUUGAGGCCAAGUGAAACGAGUUUGUCCAUCGAUUAUGGACGUUCGUUUGGGAUAACACUCGGAAGCUCUCUUCAAGAACGUUAUGGGCGUAAGAGGAACGUUGUUUGCUUCACAUAAAACUAGUUUAUCCAUCUUGUAUGUGUAUGUGAAGGAAUAGUGAUAUGCCAAUCCAUAUUAUAUAGAGAAGAUUGUGAAUUUGGGACCUCAAAAACAUAAUUAAUAGAAAAGGUAAUAUUUGAAGAAUAAUAAAUGGAUCGCAUGUAGGUAUUGCCUAAAGUUUGGGAAGCUGUCACAGAAAACACCUCACGUUAAUCUCACUUUUUUUUUAGUUUAUAACAAAAGCAUGAUAUUAUAUUGAAAAGUGAUCAAAAUGUUAGUAAAUUAUAUAUUUUGUUGGCAAACAAGAAGAUGCGAUUCCACAUGUUAAUACUUAAGAGUGACCAAGUGCUAAUAUCUCAACUGGUAUAUAGAUUUUUUAAUAGCAAAGGCUUAGAAGUCACUGGUUCCAGUAGUAUAAUUUAAAACGAAACCAUAUAACAUACUUUAGUCCUGGGUCCGAAGUGAUAUAUGGAUUUCGACCCAACACUUCUUAGUUAUUAAAAAAAAUAGAAAAAGACUUAAGAGUGACUUUGUGGACUUAUACUGAAUCUUUUUAGGUAAUAUUGGAAUGUUAAAAGAUUUUUCUGUGUAUGAAAAAUAUCUCACAUAAAAUAAUUUCUUGCCCUUGACCUUGAGUUAUAUGUCAAUAAAGACAAUACUGUAAGGUUAAACCAUGUAUAUAAAUUUACAUAUUUUUUUUUAUUUUAUUUUUUUGUAGUAAAUUAGAUUCAAAAAAAUAUAUUGUUUUGGUACAUCAAAGGCGAAAUUUGCUGAAAACUUUUAUAGAAUGAAAAUAUAAGAAUCUUUAAUUAUCUUCUAAAAGCAAACCGAACUUUGAAAACUUGAUUCGUAUCGUCUAUAACCAACGGUUUGUCCAGAGAUGUGAAUAAUUAUAACUCGGUUCAUUUUAUAUAUGUUAGUUUGGAUUUCUUACAUCUUAAAGAUAUUUUUUCUAAAGGUUCGGCCAUAUAUUCAUAUGGAAGAAGAAAAAGACAUACAAUGCAGUCUAUGACAAUGACACAAGUGCCAUGCAAUUAAUAGCUUAUAAAACAUUAGGCACAAAAAUGUCUUUAUUCACAAUUGCUUUUAUUGUUCACAUGCUUUUGUUUUGUAAUCAGAGAAAACUAAAUGGUUCUUUCUCGACAGAUCCGUUACGACAAAAAAAUUUGGUUUAAGAUGUUGAGAACCACAUAUGGACUUAAUUUGUUAAAAUGACAUUUUAUUAACUUUUACUGUUUAAAAUCAUUAAAAUGGAUGAUACAAACUUACACUACACUUAAGAUUAAUUUUCUUCGCUAAUAAAACAAUUAUUAAUGAGUUAUAACUAUCUCAUAAGAUUUUUUAACUUACAUCAAAUGUUAUGUUCUUGAUUCUUUUGAUUUCUUUUAAGAAAAUAUCUUAUAUAAGAUAUUUUCUUAAAAAAGUUUAGACAAAAAUAUUGCCGCUAUUAAUGAUGAUCUUACACAUACACAAUACACACUCGUUAGAAUGGUUAUAAUUUCAUGUAUAUAAGUCAACCUUUAGAGGAGAGUUAUCUUUUCCUAGAGCCAUCAGAAAUUAUAUCAUUGUACGUGGUUUGUUCCACUGAAUUAGAAAUGAGUUGAUUCCAAAAUUCAAUAUUAGAAAUGUGACUUUAUUCGAUCGUUUGAUAUUCUACUAACACUUAAAACAUAUUUUGAUCCUAACUUUUCGAAUGAAUCUUAAUAACCAAGAAGAAAGAACAAAAACUCUGAAACUGUACAAUUAUUUAAUAAGAAUAGUCUUCAUUUUAUCAUACAAAUAAACUUUAACAUUUUCUAUAUUUCAUCAUACAGCUUGUAAAAUCCAUACUAAUUGUACGUUGGGAAGAUGGUUUAAAUGCAUGAAUUGGAUUAGCGUGUACUCUAAUUCUAAAUUUAUAUCUAGUUCUCUACUAAUAUAAGGACUAGAUGGUAAAGCACUAGAUGUCAUAAGGAAAUUAAAGCGGAAUCCCGAGCUCCUUUUUUUUUUUGUCAUCAAUCCCGAGGUCCUCCUAAAUAAUAGAAAAAGACUUUUUAAUAACUAAAGCCCUUAACUAAAGAUAUAUCCUAAUAAAUCCCCUCAAUUAUAUUUUAUUGAAAAACUUGUCGACUUAUAAUCUGUUAAUUUAGUUACGAUAUAUCUUUAGUUGAGAGGUUUUAUACUAAAAAUCCAAAAAAACCAUGUAAAUCCACAUGAUGUUUUUGAAGUAUAUGAAAGUCUUGAAAUCGUGAAGAAUAGACGCGUCUCAAUAUUCUUAUAUACUACGACUACCAGGUCAAACGUCAACUAGAAAAUAAUAUAUAUCUCAUCUAUAAAUUCAAUUAAAUUAACUACAAUUUUGGACAAUAUAUAUCUGUGUAAUUUUUGAAUUAUUUUUAAGAAAAAAUAUUAUUAAUAAUUUUUCUGAUGAAAAUAAAUUUAAGGUUAUAGUUAUUUGAAUAUUUUAAUGAUAUUUAUAUAAAUUUUCAAUAUUAGUAUUCUCAUAUGUAAAUUAUUUUAUAACUAUUUUUGGUAAAAUUAUGUAACCAAUUAUUUUAAAUCUUUUGUCACAAUAUAAAUAUUUUAUAAAUUUAGCCACAAUAUAAUUUUUACAAAUUUCUGACGGUUUGUGAAUAGUAUCAAUAUAAUCGUCACAAAUUUUUAUUUUGUAACAAAAACUUCACAAGAGUUGUGAUUAAUAUAUGUACGUGGUAUCCAUUUUAUCAAAAACAAUUAUGACACAAAAAUAACAAUAUUUUCUCAAUUACAAACAAACAAAAUAUCUUGACAUUGUCACAAUUUGUGACUAACAUAAUGUUUUAAUUAUAUAUUCAUUAUUACGAAAUUAUAGUUUCAAAUUAUCACAAAUGAUAACUAAAAAUUUGGCAUAAUUAUAAGAAAUACUAAAAAUUAUAGUAUUUUGUGAUUAUCAUUAUUCCCAUUUCCAUCACUCCAAAACUAGUUUCAAAUGGUCACAAGUUAUUACUAAAAAAAUUAUCACAUAUAGUCAUAAUUAUCACUAAAAAUAUAAUCUCAAAACAUUAUUCUUUAUUAAAUUAUUAUCAUAAUCAUACAAUUUUCUAUUAAUUAUAAACACUAAAUGUACAUUAUAAGUUCAUAUUAGAGUUAGUCUGCUUCAGGUCCCGUCAUUUAAGUUUUCUCAUAUAAUAUUAGAUUUAAAACUAUUUCAAUAUUUUUAAAUAAUAUAUAACAUACAAAAUAAAAAUAUUUUAAACAACAAAAUAUUGUACUAGGUAAAAAAUAUAUAUUAUUUUAGGUUAAUUUAAUGAAAGUAAAGUAACACAAGAAAAGUAGGGGGAAUUUCAAAAAUAUCCCUUUUCAUAUACCCCUUUUUAAAAAUACCCCAUUUUCAAACUUUAUCAAAAAACCCACUAAAAAUGUUGAAAUUUAUCCAAAUAUGUGUGUAAGCUUAUAAAUAUAUACACAAAUUACCUUUAUAUGUGUAUAAAACUUUAUAUACCUUUCAUAAAUAACGUAAAAAUAAAUUAUAAAAACCUUAUAAAAACCUUAUAAAAACCGUAUAAACCCUUUUAAAAACCUUAAAAAACUUAUAAAAACGAUUUAAAACUAUUUAAACAUUUUAAAACAUUUGUAUCGAAUCUCCCAGUAGUAGUUAUUAUAUAGAAGUACCUUAUAAACUAUAUAAAACUUUAUAAUUUUUAUAUUUAAAAGGGGUAUUUUUGAAAAUGAAUAGAUAAAGGGGGUGUUUUAAAAAAGGGGUACACCAAAAGGGGUAUUUCUCAAAAAUUCUCAAAAAAGUAAUACAAAUGAGACUUCGUUUGUCAAUCUAUCUAGUCCUUACAAUUAUAAUAAAUAUUUAAUAUUUAAUAUUUAUGAAUUGAAAAAUAACUUUCCAGAAGUAAAGUUGUUCUCAAAUCGUUUCAAAUAUUAGGAAUAUAAUUAAUAAAUUUUAUUUUGGUUCACACAAGUACUAAAUCUUUAUUUUAAAAAUCAAAUAUAUAAUUCUACCAACAAUUAUUCAAAAUGAUAUGCAAAUGAGAUUAUUAAUAUUCAAUUUUUUCUAAAUAAAUACUAAACAUAAAUAUCAUAUAAUAUUACUAUUAAAUCACUAUAAUUGUAAUAUUUUUUUAUAAAUAAUCAUUAAUAUAAAAUAAGUGACAUGCUUUAUCCAAGUGAUAAGUGUCUUUAUAAGUGGCAUGCUCUUUCCAACCUUCAAGAUGAUUUCAUUUAUUUUCGUGAUUGUUUUAUCGUGUUUUCACUGUAUUAAUUUAAUUCAUCGUUGUUUAAACUCUUGGGUCGAUUGUUUUGUCUGUCGUGUAAACUCUUGUCCCCUAUCUUCGUAAUCAAAUAAGAUUUUAGUUAGAAUGUGUGGUUGAGUUGAUCAAAAGAUGGUAACAAAGUCAUCUAGUAACUACAUAAAGAUUAUCACGGUCUAUAUGUCUACAUGUUUCGUUUUCUAUCAAUGGAUAAAGAUAAUUUAGCAUAUUGCUUCACAAACUCAAAGUCGAGACUUAAAGUUUCUGGAUAUAAGAUUGACUUCAUCCUUAUCAUCAACCAAGCCUUUAGUGAUAUCUCGUAGUUUAGGCUUAAGGAUCUUGCCAUUUCCAUUCUUGGGCAGUUCUUCCAAGAAAAUCACCUUUCUCGGACACAUAAAAUGUGGCAGAUUCUCACGGCAAUACUCAAUCAAAUCUUUCUCUCUAUACCCAAAUUUAUCUUCACAAUCUUCUUUAUCAGUCUCACCCUUUUGUAAAACAACGAAUGCACACGGGGUUUCACCCCACACAGGGUGAGGCAUGGCCACGACGGCAACCUCAAGCACUUUUGGGUGCUUGUAAAGAACAUUCUCAACUUCAACGCUGCUGAUGUUUUCGCCUCCUGAGAUGAUUAUGUCUUUGGACCGAUCUUUGAUCUCGAUGUAUCCAUCAGGAUGAAUCACUCCUACGUCCCCGGUAUUGAGGCAUCCAUGUUUAAACGCUUCAAAUGUAGCUUUGGGAUUCUUUAGAUACCCUUUCAUUAAGAUGCUUCCUCUAAUGAAAAUUUCUCCUAUAGUUUUCCCAUCGCGUGGGACACUCUCUUGAGUUUUGUUGUUCCUCACGUCAACUUCAGCUAGGCCUAAGAUGCCUAGCCCUUGCCUUGCUUUCAGCUCCAUUUGUUGAUUCUCUGGUAAUCUGGUUCAAUUAAUUAAUAGGGCUGUCAUGUUUAAAUGUAAUUUAAAAGAUUUCAUCACUAUUAUUUUGUUUUGAUAAUAUCCUUUUUAGAUUAGUAAACCCUUACGUUUUGGUAAAUGUUAACUAAAUGUGAAAUCUGAUAAUAAAUAUAUAAGGAUAAACUUGUACCAAUGAUCAUUACCUAUUCCACUCAUCUGGCCACUCACAAAAGAGAACUGGACCAGUGGCCUCCGUAAGCCCAUAGGCAUGCAUCACUUGAAACCCCAACCUCUGAACUUUCUUAACAAGAGCAGCCGGCGGUGGUGAACCCCCGGUCAGCACAUGAACCGGCCCUGACCUAUGUGACUGUUCAAGUGCAUUUCCUCGCAAUAGAAUGUUGAAAACCGUAGGAGCACAACACAUAUGCGUCACACUAUACAUUGAUAUGUUUUUAUAGAUCCCCGGGGCGGUCACAUGCCUCAUACACACAUUAGUUCCCCCGCGGGCUGCCACUGCCCAAGUAAACGUCCAGCCAUUGCAAUGAAACAUAGGGAGAGUCCAAAGGUAAACAGGGCAAGCCCCCAUUUCCCAACCAAUAAUCAUGCUUAAUGUGCUCAAAUAUGCUCCUCGGUGAGUAAUCACCACGCCUUUUGGGUCGGCCGUGGUACCGGAAGUGUAGUUCAAUGAGAUAGGAUCAUGUUCGUCUUGAAUACGGAACAUACGUGGGACCAACAAGGGAGAAGGCUCUCCUCUCUGGAUGAGACCCUCAUAGUCUAACUCCCCGGAUGAAACCUUCUUAGGUGCAUCGAUAUCGUCAAUGAAUAUGACCCGCAGGUUCAGUAGUGAGUCGUCACAUGAUACUAGCCGGAGCGUUUCUCGAGCUAAGGGCUCAAAAUUGCGGUUAAUGAAUAAUAUCUUAGGCUUGGCGUGGCAGAGGAUUGCGGCUAUAGAUGUUGCGUCGAGACGAGUGUUGAUAGGGUUAAGAACAGCUCCAGCCAUGGGAACAGCAAAGUGCAUCUCAUACAUGGCCGGUAUGUUUGGAGCCACAACGGACACCUAAAUUCACAUUUAUAGUCACAUACCUCAUAUGAAUGAGAGAUAAAGAGUGAGUGUGACAUAUUACCACAUUGUUCUUGGUAAUAUUAAGAGAUAUGAGAGAAGCGGCUAGACGACAGCAACGGUCAUAGGUUUGAGGCCAAGUGAAACGAGUUUGUCCAUCGAUUAU